GAAGAAACACUGGGGGUCCAUUCUUUAUUAUAAUAAAGUUAAAAUGUGUGGGCAUGCACCUGAUGCUAAAGCAAAUUAAAAUAGUUUUAAUUCAUCUUUAACACAUAAAAAGAAAAAGAAUCUAUGCAUCACUAUCCAACAAAACAAAAUAUAUAGAACCAUAAUAAUGCAUCAAGUGCUUGAUUUCUAGCUACUUUUUAAUUUGUAGUGUGUAGUGCAAGUGACCAGAAUCUUUGAACUUCAUUUGGCUCUCCUACUCCUAAUUAAUUAGCAAAUAUUGAUUUCACAACACUUCUAGUUCUACUUCUCCUGAAAAACAGUACUCUCCUAAUCUCUUUCUGGCAAUACCAUAAACAAGAUAUAUAUAGCUAAAUAUAUACAAGAGGUAAAAGAAUCUUCCAUUUGAUGAUAUAAUCAUUACUGGGUUGAUAUUCUUUCAAAAGUUUGGCACAUAUAGAAAUCAACACACAAAAGCACCUUACCUUUGGGAACAAAGCGAUCCACAUACUAAUUAAUUAGGAUUGUACGUAAUAAGAACCUGAAGCCAUGUCGGUGGCAGAAGCUAUGGUCUCCAGCCUUACGCAGUGCGUUUACACUGCUCUUGUGAACCACGCCCAGUUCGCUCUCGAAUUCACAGGCCAAUUCGAGCAAAUGAAGACACGGCUUGAUCUCACGAAGGCUUUUCUCACCGACACCGAAAAUCUCAAGCGCAAAAAUUAAUGAAGUUGCCAAAACAGCUCUCACUAAGCUCCGAGAAGUGCUUUACGAAGCCGAUAACAUACUCACCGAUUGUCUAGUCAGAGACGAGUACCGAAAAAGAGGAGUUUGCUUUGGCUAUUCACUUGAGGAUCCAUUUUUCAUGCACCAAACAGGGAAGAAGUUGAGAGACAAAUUCUAAAAUGGAGCAGAUUGAGAAGACUUUGGGAAGUUUUCUCAAAGCCCCGGAAAGCAUUCACGGCGAUGAAACAUACCCAAUUAGACGUUUCACUUCUCAAGAUUUUAAUCCCACAGAGAUAAUUGGGAUGGAAGAAGAUGUAAAGAAGAUCAAAGGUUGGAUCUUUGACACAAACGAGGCGCUUCAACAGGUGGCCAUUGUAGGGAUGGGGGGAUUGGGGAAAACCACGAUCGCCCAAAAAAUAUUUCACGAUACUGAUGUGCUUGCUCGUUUUGAUAAGAUGAUUUGGGUCCCUGUUUCGAGGGGUUAUAAUGAGGAGACACUGGUGAGGUCCAUGUUGGAGAGAUUAGGGAAACAUGUUUCUGGGAUUGGUAGUGCUUCUCAAUUGUUGGGAGAAGUUCAACAUGUUCUUGCUGACAAGGCUUGUCUUAUUGUAAUGGACGAUGUUUGGCAAGUGAAUGUAGAGUGGUGGACCAACUUGUGCUCUGUUUUUCCCAAAGGAGAUGGGAAAAAGAGUACUAUAAUAAUAACAACUAGAAAUGAAGGGGUUGCUAGUGAUAUGGGGGUAGAGAGUUCAAGAAUUCACAAACCGGAACCUUUAAAUGACGAACACAGUUGGACUUUGUUUUCUAAGUUUGCCUUUUCUUCAAGGAAGGGAAUUUGUUCGGAUUCCAAUUUUGAGAUAUUGGGCAAGGAUAUCACUGAAAAGUGUGGGGGAUUGCCUCUAGCCAUUAAGACCAUUGGGGCUCUGUUAGCAGCAAAGAUUGAUCAUCCCCAUGAAUGGAGACUUGGAGAGAUAUUUCCAAGAAUUUUCAUUCUCAAUUGACAACUGGAGGUAAAAAUAGCUCAGUUAUGGCUUCCUUGCAAUUAAGUUAUGAUGAACUCCCAGCUCGUUUGAAACAAUGCCUAUUGUGCUUUUCCAUUAAUCCUGAAGAUUACGAGAUUAUAGCAGAGCAACUCAUACAUUGGUGGAUUGGGGAAGGCCUUAUUCAGGGCAAGAGUUCAAAGUCAGCCUAUGAAAUUGGUUGUGAAUAUUUGUCUGAGCUUAUCAAAAGAUGCCUUGUUGAAGUGGUCAAGCAAAGGUGUUACGAUGGAAGAGUCCACAACUGCAAAAUGCAUGAUAUGGUACGAGAACUGAUCAUAACAAAUGCUGAAGAAGAGGCAUUUUGCCAUUUCGAUUCGCAGGGCAUUCAAACACCGAAUCCAGGUUCUCGAUGGUUAGGCUUCACUAUGCAAAUGAAUAAGAAUUCAUCGUUGAGACACGUACCAAAGCUCAUGACUAUGUUAGUAUUCAAUUCAAGUUGCUGUAGUGCUGACUUCAAGAACUUUGGGGUACUUCGGUCCCUAAGGGUAUUGGAUUUCUCUAACGUCUGACUUGAAGAGAUCGAUGUGGAUGAUCUCUUUAAAUGGAUCAGUUCUCUAAAACGUCUAGCUUCUCUGAAUCUAACAGGAGUUCAAAGCUUAGAAACUGUUCCACCUUCAAUUCGAAAGCUUCGAAACCUUCAAUUGUUAGUUUUAUCUGGUUGUAGUAAGCUGAAAAGAUUAAACCAGUCAAUCAUUACUUUGAGGAAGUUGAUUGUGUUUUGCCCUCUUGAGUUCCUACCUCGGGGAUUCGACAAGCUUUGUUACCUUCAAGAACUCACUGGAUUCAAGGUUACUAAUCAGUCUAAAAAGAACUGCUGUCAAUUUCAAGAGCUCAGGGGACUAUCCCAACUAAGAGUUUUGAGGAUGAGCAUAAGUGAUGAAACAGAAAUCUUAGAAAGUGAAAUGAACAUCCUGUGUGAGCUAAAGGAACUCAAGAUUUUAUCCAUUGAUGCUGAAAAUUGCAGGAGAAACAACAAGGAAAUCUUAGGGAUGAUUGAUAGGCUAGCACCUCCUCCAAGCUUGCAAGAAUUGUAUCUUAGGAACUAUCACAGAGAAAGUCUUCCCAUCUGGGUUAAUCCGGGAACGCUCUCUGAAUUGCAGUAUCUUUGCGUUGAGAACAGUGAUAUCCAUAACUUGAGUCUUGAGACUGAAGAUAAGAAUUGUGAUUUGCCAUGGAACAUUGAAGGUCUGUGUUUGAAGUUCUUGACUCGGAUAGAUAUGGAGUGGAAUGAGUUACAAAAUAAUAUGCCUUUGUUACGCCACCUGGAGGAGAUUAGCCAUUGUUACAAGUUAAAAAAUUUCCCAUGCUCUGUUAAGAGCCCCAGAUUCUGGUCCAAAAAGUAAUUAAGGAAACUUGUGGGAAUCUUGAAAGGUGAUAUUUGAUUGUUACAUAUUUGUGUGUGCAUGCAUGUAGUAUUCAAAAUUCUACAUUAUUGUGUUAUAUAUGAAUGAUUUUAUUAUUACUAUUAGUACUAUUUAUGCUAGACAGACUCGGAGAUUUGUGUGAUGAGAUAUUAAUUAGUACGUUGGUGUGUUUCAAAUAAAAUAUUGUUCAAGUGUGCUAUUUUCCUUCUUUUCAUGUUUUGUGGAGUGUACUAUUUCAGCUUGCUUUUGUCUCAUUUCUAUUUCAGAGAUGUAUCUGUAUUUAAUUGAAAAUAAUAAUAAUUAUUAUAAUCAAAGUAAAUAAA